UGUCCCUCACUCAUAGAAUAUCCCACUUGGGUUGUCAUGAUCUUUAACUCUUGAUUGUUAGAUCAAUGAGCACUAUUAGAGCACCUCGCUCUGAUACCACUUGUUGCCCAAGGUGACAAUCCAAGAGGGGGGGUGAAUUGGUUUCUUCUAAAUUUUAGUGCUUUUAGAAACUUUCGUAAUUAAGUGCGGUGGAUGCUUUCUUAGGUUAUUUGAGUGAGUUAAGUUAAUACAAGAAUAGAAGAUAAAGCAAGGAAAAAUGAAAUCACAAACACAAUGCAAACACACCAAUAUAUAGUGGUUCGGUGCUCUCCUUAGCACCUACGUCCACUCCCCAAGCGUACCCUUGGGAAUUCACUAUAAUCUCACGGAUUACAGUUGGAUUGUUUUCCGGGCUCACAAUCCAAAAACCUUGUUGGUUUUACGGGCUCACCAACGAACCUAUACAACUUUGAUUUUCCGGGUUCACCAAAAACCUUGUUGGUUUUGCGGGCUUACCAACGAACCUAUACAACUUUGG
rnacentral:lncRNA from 1 species